rnacentral:rRNA from 1 species
AUUGAACGCUGGCGGCAGGCCUAACACAUGCAAGUCGAACGAGUGGCGGACGGGUGAGUAAUGUCUGGGAAACUGCCCGAUGGAGGGGGAUAACUACUGGAAACGGUAGCUAAUACCGCAUACCAUCGGAUGUGCCCAGGUGGGAGUAGAUUUUAGGUGAGGUAAAGGACUACCAAGGCGACGAUCCGUAACUGGUCUGAGAGGAUGAUCAGUCACACGGGAACUGUGACACGGUCGAGACUCCUACGGGAGGCAGCAGUGGGGAAUAUUGGACAAUGGGCGAAAGCCUGAUCCAGCCAUGCCGCGUGUGUGAAGAAGGUCUUCGGAUUGUAAAGCACUUUAAGUUGGGAGGCGUUACCAACAGAAUAAGCACAGGCUAACGUCGUGCCAGCAGCCGCGGUAAUUC